GAUAUUUUAAAUUUAAGCUACUUUCUUAAUCAAAAUUCCGGUUGGUGUGAAAGUUUAGUUUGAAUUUAAGCUACUUUCUUAUUCAAGAGUUGGCAAGAUUAUAUAUAAUAAACAUGAACCUGCGACCUUGAACCUGUCGGUUUUUCAGUUUUACAAGAUGUCGGUUUGUGUUCGCUUUGCCUUCUCCUUCCUUGUACCUGUCGGUUUUUCAGUUUAAGGAGAUGAUUUGUGUUUGAUUUGAAGUAUGCAAAGUUAAUAGAGAAGAGUCUGUUUGAUUGAAAGAGAAGCAAGUUGUUUAGAGAUCAAAUCCGACAUUACAAGUACCAUACAUUAACUAGGGAGAGAAUACAGUUGCAUAGGAGAAAGAAAACUAAGGAAACAAAGGAGAUACAUAGCUAAAACGACUAAACAGCUUCACUUAUAGAAGUGAAACUUCACACCCGUGACUUCCUUCAGACCCGUGAAUGGGAAAACAGCAAAACAGACCCGUGACUUCCUUUCACACCCGUGACCUUGUACUACCUGCAACAACCAAAAAAAAAAUUCCAAGAGUUAGCAAGAGUUACCAAGAGUUAACAAAGUGUACUAACUACUCAACACAACAUGAAAACCUUAACUAGUCCGUGACUUCCUUUAACUAAACAUCACAGCAUUUCAGACAGUAGUUUCAUUUUUAAAGAUGUUUCCAUCUCAGAUAGUGGACCAGUUUUGGCAAUUAAACGCUCAAGCACUUUGCGUUUAGAUAUCUUCUCUUUCAUUUCCAUAAUGCCUUGAAUCUUCUCCAACUCAUCAUCUCUUCCACUUUUCUUCCGCUUGAUAGAAGCUUUAGCAGCCUUGACACCUAUAGGUCUAGCCUCUCCUGCUGCCACCGCGUCUUCUCCAUCAACCUCUACCGGUUGUUUACGCUUGUCCUUAGAGAGAAAGGCGGAGCACCAUUUCUUCUCAUGCCUCAGCUCCCUCCACGCAUGUUCGAGUGCGAACUUGCUGGAGUAGUUAUUGAAGAAGAUAUCGAGGGCAGCUUUCAUCACGUCAUCAUCAUUUUGCCCGCUUCUCUGCUCCCUCAAGGCCGCUUCAUAGCUCCCAACAAACUUGCAAACCUGAUCGUUAAUCCGAGCCCACCUUUGCUUGCACUGACCAAGCUCUCUCGGUAUUGUCCCGACCAGCUGAGGGCUUGAGUUGUAGUACUCUACAAUCCUCCUCCAGAAAUGAGUCGCCUUCUGCUCAUUACCGACCACAGAGUCUUUACUCGUGUUAAGCCAAGCGCUUAUGAGGAUUAUAUCCUCUUUGACACACCAUUUCCUCCUCUCCUUGCUUGAAGACUGCUCAGAAACAGGGGGUGUAUCCAUGGGUAUGGACUGCUCUGUACUAAACCAAACUGGUUCGGGUGAAUCAAGGCUAAAAGGCGCCUGGUUAUUGAGAAGGUUAACAAAACCAGGGGUGGCAUCCAUGGUUAUUUUAAGCUCUGUGUCACUCUACUAGCAUCACAGAGCUUUAAGUAUGCGAUAUCUACCUAAGAUACAUUUAAAAGCAAUCAAGUCAGCCAGAGUUAGGAAGGUAAAAAGCAGUACGGGUACAUUUAAACCCAUCAACUCAGAGGAGUUAGGAAGGUAAAAGCAUUUAUCAGCUUCGGACUUUAAUUCUAAAUACAUUUAUCAGAGGAGUUAGGAAGGUAAAAGCAUUUAUCAGCUAGUUUACCGCUUAGUUUAUUAUAUUACCAUUAUUAUCCAGAUUCAAUGGAAAAUACUAUACACUUUGAUUACUCAAUGAAAAGAGAGCUGGAAGUUGUUUGUAGAUUACCUUCUAAAGGUCAGACAGUCGCAUUUUCAUCCUCUGAAGCUCUUCCUGAAGCUCUUCCUGAACAGACAUAAGAUAAAAGAGUCAUGUUUUUCAAGAAAAUAUGGAAAAAAAAUUAUAAGCAGAAGGAAUGAAACUAACCAUGCUCUCUGUUAACACGUUCUCCUUCUCUGCAACCCACUUGAACAUGAUCACCAUACAUAGUAGAAAUACUACACUAAGCAACACACAUACAAGCAAUGGAUAGCCAUUUGCAAUCCCUGUUUUCUUCUUAACUAACUGCUCCACAGUCUGCUCGACCUUAACCAGCUUCUCGUCACUCUCAUUAGCUUGAUCCUUUACCUCCCUAAGUUGUCUCUGAUAAUCACGCAACUCCUCCAUGACCGCCACAUCCCACCAUUUCCACACAUGGCAGUCUCCAUCAUCCGCAUUCCCGCAAGUGAAGUACCUUCUCCCUGGAUCUUUGCUUGUGUAAGAAGUUUCAACAACUGCCUCACCACCACAGUAGCAGGUCUUGGGGAUUCCGUCAUCACACUCAGGUUGAGGAAGGUACUCAACGGCCUCAGCUAUGUUGUCCCUACUGUCAGCUUCGUCAGCGUAGAGAUCAGCUUCCGCUUGAAGAAGCGAAGUUAUAUCUAUAUCAUACUCCUCUGAUGAUGAAGGCUGGCUGUAGCUAUAUCGUCCCAUGUUUCCUUAACCUGAAAUCAUAGCAACAGAGGCGUUAAAACAAUUCAUAUAAUCAAACAACUUUUGGACUACAUUUCUAUAAGCUCAAUAGAGUCAGAACACAUAGGAUAAGAGGAUUAGAAAUCUGUAUAAAAGACUAAUCUUUUUGAAACAGUUACUACAAUCGCAAAAAUCCCCCAAUUGAUUGAAAAAUUAGAUUCAAAAUAGAUUCAGAAACAAAUCGUUAUCAAACGCUAACUGAUCUCCAAAAAUUAUAUAAAUCCAUUGAAAUCCCAAAUCCGAACCCUAAUUUGAGAAGAAACCAAAAUGAAACCUAGCGUAAAUCCCUAAAUCAACAAGAGGAUCCUUCGAUUUACCUUCGCUACCGUCGAGAACCCUUCGAGUAUCCUCUUUAGUGACGACAACCCUUCGAUUUCUCUUCUCAGCGGUCGAGAGAAAGAUCGUCUUAAUCGCCGUCUCUGAUUUUUUUUUUUCGUGUUGCGUCCAAAUGAAAUGAAGUCGCGAAACCCUACACGAGUUCGACCCAAUUGCUCCUGCCACGUCAUUUAGGACCAACACAUUUUAAUCCUUAGCUUAGGACUUAUCCUUAGCUUUUCUCCCAUAAAUAUUAGUAUUAUAAUCCUAAUAGUUAAGGAUUAACUACUAAGGAUUGUGUUAAAACCACCGUUGCGGAUGGUCUUA
rnacentral:lncRNA from 1 species